rnacentral:rRNA from 2 species
CUGGUGUCAGCCGCCGCGGUAAUACCAGCACCUCGAGUGGUCAGGACGUUUAUUGGGCCUAAAGCAUCCGUAGCCGGCUUUGCAAGUCUUCGGUUAAAUCCACCUGCUCAACAGAUGGGCUGCCGGGAAUACUGCAUAACUAGGAAGUGGGAGAGGUAGACGGUACUCGGUAGGAAGGGGUAAAAUCCUUUGAUCUAUUGAUGACCACCUGUGGCGAAGGCGGUCUACCAGAACACGUUCGACGGUGAGGGAUGAAAGCUGGGGGAGCAAACCGGAUUAGAUACCCGGGUAGUCCCAGCUGUAAACUAUGCAAACUCAGUGAUGCAUUGGCUUGUGGCCAAUGCAGUGCUGCAGGGAAGCCGUUAAGUUUGCCGCCUGGGAAGUACGUACGCAAGUAUGAAACUUAAAG